rnacentral:rRNA from 1 species
AGUCGAGCGGGGAUAGGGUGCUUGCACCUGAUUCCUAGCGGCGGACGGGUGAGUAAUGCUUAGGAAUCUGCCUAUUAGUGGGGGACAACAUUCCGAAAGGGAUGCUAAUACCGCAUACGCCCUACGGGGGAAAGCAGGGGAUCUUCGGACCUUGCGCUAAUAGAUGAGCCUAAGUCGGAUUAGCUAGUUGGUGGGGUAAAGGCCUACCAAGGCGACGAUCUGUAGCGGGUCUGAGAGGAUGAUCCGCCACACUGGGACUGAGACACGGCCCAGACUCCUACGGGAGGCAGCAGUGGGGAAUAUUGGACAAUGGGGGGAACCCUGAUCCAGCCAUGCCGCGUGUGUGAAGAAGGCCUUUUGGUUGUAAAGCACUUUAAGCGAGGAGGAGGCGCUCUAGGCUAAUACCCUAGAUGCGUGGACGUUACUCGCAGAAUAAGCACCGGCUAACUCUGUGCCAGCAGCCGCGGUAAUACAGAGGGUGCGAGCGUUAAUCGGAUUUACUGGGCGUAAAGCGCGCGUAGGUGGCUAAUUAAGUCAAAUGUGAAAUCCCCGAGCUUAACUUGGGAAUUGCAUUCGAUACUGGUUAGCUAGAGUAUGGGAGAGGAUGGUAGAAUUCCAGGUGUAGCGGUGAAAUGCGUAGAGAUCUGGAGGAAUACCGAUGGCGAAAGGCAGCCAUCUGGCCUAAUACUGACACUGAGGUGCGAAAGCAUGGGGAGCAAACAGGAUUAGAUACCCUGGUAGUCCAUGCCGUAAACGAUGUCUACUAGCCGUUGGGGCCUUUGAGGCUUUAGUGGCGCAGCUAACGCGAUAAGUAGACCGCCUGGGGGAGUACGGUCGCAGACUAAAACUCAAAUGAAUUGA